UACAGAGGGUGCGAGCGUUGUUCGGAAUUACUGGGCGUAAAGCGCGCGCAGGCGGCCCCUUUUAAGUCUGGCGGUGAAAAUGCUGGGGGCUCAACCCCCAUGCGAGCCGCGGAUACUGGGGGGGGCUGGAGACGAGUAGAGGCAAGCGGAAUUCCGGGUGUAGCGGUGGAAUGCGUAGAGAUCCGGAAGAACACCGGUGGCGAAGGCGGUCUGCUGGGGUCGAACUGACGCUGAGGCGCGACAGCGUGGGGGAGCAAACAGGAUUAGAA
rnacentral:rRNA from 1 species